UACAGAGGGUGCAAGCGUUAAUCGGAAUUACUGGGCGUAAAGCGCGUGUAGGCGGUCCGGUAAGUCCGCUGUGAAAGUCGGGGGCUCAACCCUCGAAUGCCGGUGGAUACUGUCGGGCUAGAGUGCGGAAGAGGCGAGUGGAAUUCCUGGUGUAGCGGUGAAAUGCGCAGAUAUCAGGAGGAACACCAAUAGCGAAGGCAGCUCGCUGGGACGUUACUGACACUAAGGCGCGAAAGCGUGGGGAGCGAACAGG
rnacentral:rRNA from 1 species